AAAAGCAGCGUCAGGCUAGCGAAAACAGGCACACCAGGAUAACAAGUUCUAUGCAGGAACAAACGGCUUGAAACGUAGACUGACUGAGCAGAGAUUACGCAGCGUGGAAGUGGCAGGGCUGAGUAUUUGUAGAGAUCUAUCUUGAUUUUGGAACAGGUUGCAGCUGGUCUGCCUCAGCACACCUGAGGUAGAGGGAGUUUAGAACUGUCGAGGUAGAGGGAGUUUAGAACUGUCGAGGUAGAGGGACUUUAGAACUGUCGAGGUAGAGGGAGUUUAGAACUGUCGAGGUAGAGGGACUUUAGAACUGUCGAGGUAGAGGGAGUUUAGAACUGUCGAGGUAGAGGGAGUUUGUAACUGUCGAGGUAGAGGGAGUUUGGAACUGUCGAGGUAGAGGGAG
ensembl:lncRNA